UACGAAGGGGGCUAGCGUUGCUCGGAAUCACUGGGCGUAAAGCGCACGUAGGCGGCUUUCUAAGUCAGGGGUGAAAUCCUGGAGCUCAACUCCAGAACUGCCUUUGAUACUGGGAAGCUUGAGUUCGAGAGAGGUGAGUGGAACUGCGAGUGUAGAGGUGAAAUUCGUAGAUAUUCGGAAGAACACCAGUGGCGAAGGCGACAUACUGGCUCAUUACUGACGCUGAGGCACGAAAGCGUGGGGAGCAAACAGG
rnacentral:rRNA from 1 species